rnacentral:lncRNA from 1 species
GACAUGGUUUCUUGACUGGAACAGGAGGAGGAAGAGGUUUAUGAUAUACAGGCGUAGGUGGAGGGAGAGGUUUAUGAUAAACAGGCACAGGUGGAGGAAGAGGUUUCUCAUACACAGGUGUAGGUGGAGGGAGAGGUUUAUGGUAAACAGGCACAGGCGGAGGAAGAGGUUUCUCGUAGACAGGUGUAGGUGGAGGAAGAGGUUUCUCAUAAACAGGUGUAGGAGGAGGGAUAGGUUUUUCAUAGAUAGGCACAGGUGGAGGACAAGGUUUCUUGUAGAUAGGAAUAUGAGGAAAGGGAG